UACGAAGGGGGCUAGCGUUGCUCGGAAUCACUGGGCGUAAAGGGUGCGUAGGCGGGUCUUUAAGUCAGGGGUGAAAUCCUGGAGCUCAACUCCAGAACUGCCUUUGAUACUGGCGAUCUUGAGUCCGGGAGAGGUGAGUGGAACUGCGAGUGUAGAGGUGAAAUUCGUAGAUAUUCGCAAGGACACCAGUGGCGAAGGCGGCUCACUGGCCCGGUACUGACGCUGAGGUGCGAAAGCGUGGGGAGCAAACAGG
rnacentral:rRNA from 1 species